GGAAAAAAAACAUAUUAUUUACAUUAUGUUUAUAUGUAAGAUAAAAGAAAUUGAAAAUUGUGUGUACCUGUAUUUCCAGCUUAAGUAAAAGAUAAAAGUGAGGAUAUAAAAUUAAAACUCAUGGCAUAAGUAAUAAUACAAAUAAUAAUAAGAGAUGUUAAUAGAAGAGAGAAAUAGUGCGUACCUACAUUUCCAGCUUAAGUAUAUAUAAGGUAAAUGUAAGGCUGUAAAAUUGAAAAUCAUUAUUCAUAGCCUAAGCAACUAAAACUAAGUCAUAAUAAUAGAAUAUGUAAAUUCUAGAAGUUCCAACUUUAAUAAAUAGAAAUAAGUCAUAAGUUAUAACAAUCCAAAUACAACAAG
rnacentral:misc_RNA from 1 species